rnacentral:rRNA from 1 species
GGAGGACUCCUAAAGAUCGCAAGACCUUGCGCUCAUUGAGCGGCCGACUCUUGAUUAGCUAGUUGGUGAGGUGAAGGCUUACCAAGGCGACGAUCAGUAGCUGGUCUGAGAGGACGACCAGCCACACUGGGACUGAGACACGGCCCAGACUCCUACGGGAGGCAGCAGUGGGGAAUUUUGGACAAUGGGGGAAACCCUGAUCCAGCCAUGCCGCGUGAGUGAAGAAGGCCUUCGGGUUGUAAAGCUCUUUCAGCCGGAACGAAACGGUCACGGCUAAUACCUGUGACUACUGACGGUACCGGAAGAAGAAGCACCGGCUAACUACGUGCCAGCAGCUGCGGUAAUUCGUAGGGUGCGAGCGUUAAUCGGAAUUACUGGGCGUAAAGCGUGCGCAGGCGGUCUUGUAAGUCAGAUGUGAAAUCCCCGGGCUUAACCUGGGAACUGCGUUUGAAACUACAAGGCUAGAAGGG